rnacentral:rRNA from 1 species
GAUGAACGCUGGCGGCGUGCCUAAUACAUGCAAGUCGAGCGAACGGACGAGAAGCUUGCUUCUCUGAUGUUAGCGGCGGACGGGUGAGUAACACGUGGAUAACCUACCUAUAAGACUGGGAUAACUUCGGGAAACCGGAGCUAAUACCGGAUAAUAUUUUGAACCGCAUGGUUCAAAAGUGAAAGACGGUCUUGCUGUCACUUAUAGAUGGAUCCGCGCUGCAUUAGCUAGUUGGUAAGGUAACGGCUUACCAAGGCAACGAUGCAUAGCCGACCUGAGAGGGUGAUCGGCCACACUGGAACUGAGACACGGUCCAGACUCCUACGGGAGGCAGCAGUAGGGAAUCUUCCGCAAUGGGCGAAAGCCUGACGGAGCAACGCCGCGUGAGUGAUGAAGGUCUUCGGAUCGUAAAACUCUGUUAUUAGGGAAGAACAUAUGUGUAAGUAACUGUGCACAUCUUGACGGUACCUGACCAGAAAGCCACGGCUAACUACGUG